CUCUGGAACUGUCCAGGUCGGCUGAGGAUGGGGGAUCUCCUUCUCCCCAUAAAUCAGUCUGGCCCUCCCCAACCGCGGGCCCCCAGGAGGCUUGUCAGAGCCGCUCCCACGGCCGGCACGCGGGGGAGGGGCCCCAGGGCGCACGAAGGACCCCCCGCAGGCUGCCCGCCGCGCCGAACCCAGGCCGUCUGGCCCGAACGCAGGCCAAGGCGGAGGCGCCCAGGCUGCUUCCCGGCCCCGGAGCCCCACAGCACCAAGCCCGGAUCGCAGGACACGGGCGCGCGCCCGGGCCCGCGCACACUCACCGCCCGCGCCGCCGCCGCCGCCGCCGCCGCCACCCCGGGACGCGGAAGGUCGGGGGCGCCGAGCCCCUAAUGCCGCAGCCUCUGGGCACCGCAGCCCCGCGCCCAGCACGCCUCCCGCGCCGCGCUGCGCCGCCUUCACGGGCCCGCCCCCCGCCCGGCCGGCCCCGCUCGGUCGCCCAACCCCGAGGAGCCGCCCGCCGGACUCGCUUUGGGGCCAAGAGGGAACGCGCCUCCCGGGCCCGCGGCGGAGCGGAGCUGGAGGCCGCGUUUCAUCAGCCGAGCGCCCCCCCGGGACGCCGGAAGGAGCCUCCGCGCGGAGCCGACCACGUGCACGGCAUCUUGGGGCACGGGUUCCCGCCGUCUCCCCACUGUAAAGGAGCGGCUUACUCCAGAGGUCCAGCCCCCUCACACACAAUCACGGAACCCGUGGAUGAGGCAGUAUUUGAGACCAGAAGUUUAUUGGGGACUUGGGUUUGGUUUUUGUUUGGUUGGUUUUGUCGUUGUUUUUAGAGUCGGGGGUUUCGCUGUGUUGCCCAGGCUGCUAUCGGACUCCUGACCUCAAGCGAUCCUCUUGCUUGGCCUCCCAAAGUGUUGGGAUUACAGGCGUGAGCCACCGCACCUGGCCGGGGACUUGUUUCUAAUGGAAAAUUGUGUAUGUGCUGUAUUGUUAAGAGCAUUGGUUUGGGGUCAGACUAGGCUGUGAUUCGGGUCUCUCCACUUCUUAUUAUCGUCUUUGGUAAAUUAUUUAACCUCUUUGUGCCUUCGUUUUCUGUAAAAAGCAGAUAAUUAUAGCUACUUCAUGAGGUCGUGUGAAGAUUUAAUGAGAUAGUGUGUGUGAAAUGUUCACAGCUACCAGACACAUACUCACUCGUGUUCCCAAUUGCUAUACUCACAAGGGCUCACUCCCAUCGCCAUCCUUCGUAAUUUCAAAGGGUCUACGGUUAAAAGUAAGUAACCUUUCCCCUGAGGAAAACACUAACCUUGUGCUUUCCUUGUAUUUUUCCUUAGAGCACAUAUGUACCUGUGCGUGUGUGCGUUUACACAAAGGAAGGCCUUUUCUAUUCUGUUGGGCACUCUGCUUUUUCAUUCGACAAAGUACCUUGGCGCUCAUCGGCCAGAACGCGCCACACUGCCUCAUUUCCUUUUAAGGGGCACAUAAACGUCCCUAUAUUAAUAUUAGGUUUGCGCAAAAGUUAUUGCGUUUUUUUGCCAUUAAAAACAUUACAGGCUGGGCGCGGUGGCUCACGCCUGUAAUCCCAGCACUUUGGGAGGCCGAGGCGGGAGGAUUACCUGAGGUCGGGAGUUCGAGACCAGCCUGAUCAACAUGGGGAAACCCCGUCUCUACUAAAAAUACAAAAUUAGCCGGGCCUGGUGGCGCAUGCCUGUAAUCCCAGCUACUCGGGAGACUGAGGCAGGAGAAUCGCUUGAACCCGGGAGGUGGAGGUUGCGGUGAGCCGAGAUUGCGCCAUUGCACUCCAGCCUGGGCAACAAGAGCAAAACUCCAUCUCAAAAAAAAAAAAAAUUGCAAAAACCGCGAUUAUUUUUGCACCAACCUAAUAGAAAGGGUCUUUGUUUUCUUAACCCUUCUUUCUUAGUGGACAUGAAGGUGAUUUCCAGCCUUGCUGACAGGCCUUGCCCUGAUACACAUAGCAGCAUUGUUGCAUACACGCAAACAUGCCACAGCCUGCAUUUCUUUCUUUCUCUUUCUCUUUCUUUCUUUCUUUCUUUCUCUCUUUCUUUCUUUGUUUCUUUUUCUUUCCUUCUUUCAUUUCUUUCUCUCUUUGUUUCUUUUUCUUUCCUUCUUUCUUUCUUUCUUUCUUUCCUUCCUUCCUUCUUUUUCUUUUUCUUUUUCUUUUUCUUUUUCUUUUUCUUUUUCUGAGACAGGGUCACUCUCUUGCCCAGGCUGGAGUGCAGUGGUGCAGUCACAGCUCACUGCAGCCUCGGCCUCUCCUCUCAGGCUCAAGGGAUCCUCCCACCUCAGCCUCUCUGGUAGAUGGGUCUAAAAGUGCAUGCCACCACUCCCGGCUAAUGUUUUUGUUUUUGUUUUUGUUUUUGUUUUGUAGAUGCAGGGUCUUACUAUGUUUCCCCAGCUAGUCUCAAACUCCUACACUCAAGUGAUCCUCCCACUUCAGCCUCCCAAAGUGCUGGGAUUACACGUGCAAGCCACCAUGCCUGGCCCAUUUCUAUAAGUAGAUGUGCUGAGUCAGAAUGUACAUGCUUGUUUGUUUGUUUGUUUGUUUGUUUGUUUGUUUUUGAGAUGGGGUCUCGCUCUGUCACCCAGGCUGGAGUGCAGUGGUGUGAUCUUGGCUCACUGCAGCCUCCACCUCCCGGGUUCAAGCGAUUCUCCCACCUCAGCCUCCCGAGUAGCUGGGAUUACAGGGGUGUGCCACCACGCCUGGCUAAUUUUUGCAUUUUUAGUAGAGACAGGGGUUUCACCAUGUUGCCCAGGCUGGUCUCGAACUCCCGACCUCAGGUGAUCCACCCGCCUUGGCCUCCCAAAGUACUGGGAUUACAGGGGUAAGCCACCGCACCUGGCCUAUGCAUGCAUUUUUUUAUUUUAACAGAUAUUCCAAAUUGUUGGGAAACUCUCAGACCCCAGAACUUAGCUGGCUGCAUGCUCGGCCAGCCCUCAGAGACAGCAUGAUUGGAGGCAGGAGCAGGAAUUGGCAACCUGAGAAGUAGAUACCACCCAGGCACCCUCAUUCACAAGGAUCCAGAGACAGGGUUUCCCCCUGUUGCCCAGUCUGGCAUCGAUCACCUAAGCUCAAGCGAUCCACCCAUCUUGGCCUCCCAAAAUGCUAGGAUUAUAGGUGUCAGCCACUGCACCCGGCCCUGACCCAGGAGCCAGUGGCAUCUGAAAUUUUUUUAAAAGCCAGAGAAGAUCUAUGUUGACCUGAUGAUCUUUCACCUUCUAGAUCUCCCUGAACCACUGGCCAAAUCUUUCAAUAAAGAAUGUGCUUAACCUGCCUCUUAAGACCCAUGUAUUUGCACAAGAAGGAAAAAAAAAACCAGAAAAAAAAGCAAAACUAGAGCUGCCUGCCUGUGCUGAAGCUUUUUCAGUAAUUUCAGAGCCACUGAAGUGAUGUGAGAUCAGUUGACAAGAGAAAAACACUCUGAGAUCUGCCAGAAUGACCCUCAAGGGGAGAAAAAUAAUUAAACAGGUGGAAAAACAAGGAACACGCAAGACUGAUCAAAGCGUUUCUUUUCUGUUGAACAGCUUUUGCUGACUUCUGGUACCAUCAGUUUUCUUGAGUACAAUAAAGACCAACAAAUGCAGAAUGUUAGUUACGGGCCUUACUCAAUCAGGCUCAAAGGCUUUACUGGGGUUACAGGAAGCCAAGUACCCAGUCCACUAAUGUCCUGGGAGAAAAGCCUGAAGGCAGAGCAUGGUAGGUUUUCUCUUGCAGCCUGCAGGCUGAUCUGAUGGGACUUCAAUUCUGUCACUUCCUUGCUCUGUGACAUUGAACAUUCUGUAAGCCUCUGGGCCUCAGCUUUCUCAUCCAUGGAAGUGGGAUUACAGUGUCUAACCUGCAGGGCUGCUGUGUGUUUAUAUAUGUGCAUAGAACAUAAUGGCCUUCCCUUGAUAGAAGCAGAGAUUGGACAUGUGGCCUCUGACAAGUUACUUUUUUUUUUCUACAAGUUUCCCUCUCCUCUCCCCCAUUCAGAAAGUGGAAGGGGUAAUUCUUCAGGGAAUUUGUGAGAUGUUACCACAAGGUUACACAAUGGCUUGCUGUAAACUAUUUUAUGUCUUUUUUUUUUUUUUUUUUUUGAGACGGAGUCUUGCUCUGUCACUCAGGCUGGAGUGCAGUGGUGCGAUCUCGAUCUCAGCUCACUGCAACCUCCAACUCCCAGGCUCAAGCGAUUCUCAUGCCUCAGCAUCCUGAGUAGCUGGGACUACAGGUGCACACCACCACGCCCCAGUAAAUUUUUUGUAUUUUCAGUAGAGACAGGGUUUCGCUAUGUUGGCCAGGCUCGUCUCGAACUCCUGGCCUCAAAUGAUCCACCAGCCUCGGCCUCCCAAAGUGCUGGGAUUACAGGUGUGAGCCAUAUUUUAUGCCUUUUAUCAGGGCAUCCUCUGUAGGUUUACAUGACAUAAAAUUGCCCAGAGGGCAACUGAAGAGCAUCACUCUACAAUUUGGGAGAGGUAAAGGGAAAAGAAUCAGAUGGGUAAGAUACAUAAAAGGUAUAUAGCUAUGAAGUUGUUCAAUACUCAGUACACACCGUGGUUAAACACAGAUGCAAAAGCCGGAUUGCAAGUUUGAAUCUUGGCUCCAUCACUGCACAUCCUUGGGCUGGUUCCUUAACCUCUCUCAGUCUCAUAUCCCAUAAAAAAAAAAAAAGAAUUAAAUUAGUCAAUAUAAAUGUAAAAGUUCUUACAACUAGCUGGCACAUAGAAAGCUGUUAGCAGGCAGGGCAUGGUGGCUCACAUCCAUAAUCCCAGCACUUUGGGAGGCCAAGGCAGGCAGAUCACUUGAGGUCAGCAGUUCGAGACCAGCCUGGCCAACAUGGUGAAACCGCAUCUCUACUAAAAAUACAAAAAUUAGCCAGGCGUGGUGGUGGGCGCCUGUAGUCCCAGCUACUCAGGAGGCUGAGGUGGGAGAAUCACUUGAACCUGGGAGCGGGAGGUUGCAGUGAGCCGAAAUCAUGCCACUACACCCCAGCCUGGGCAAUAGAGUAAGGCUCUGUCUCAAAAAAAAAAAAAAAAAGCUGUUAGCAGUUGUAGCAGAAACAUGGUUUUACCCAUGGAAUAUCCAUGGGCUUCCCCUUAUUUCUUAGCCUCCCUUGUGUUGGGUCGGGACACGUGACCUACACCAAUAUGCUGAGAACAAGUGUCAUUUGAGGACUGAAGCAGGUGAGAGCUGAUGCAUGCUUGCCAACUUUUUCUUCCCAUCACUGAAAUUUCAUGGAAACCAUGUGGUGAGAUGGUAGAGACACAAACUGGAAGUAAUCCAAAUCACUGAGCGGCCACAUGGAGAACAGUCACCCUGAAGUCACCCAACUUGUAUCAGAUUUUGUAAGAAAUAAACCUUUGUUACAUUAAGCCACAGAGAUUUCAGAACCUGUCCUGUCCUGACCGAUGCAGCUAUUAUUAAACUUGUAAUCAAGAAUGAUUAGUCUGAGAAAAGGACAGCAAAUUUUAGAAAAUUAGGAAACAUUUGCUGAGUACCUAGAAUGUUCCAGACAUCUUGUAUAGUGCCUUAUCUUCUCUAAUCUGGGGGUGGUUUUUGGCACCCAGGGGACAUUUGACAAUAUCUGGAGAUAUUUUUUGUUUCACAACUGAAGGGGUUCUGCUGGCAUCUAGUGGGUAGAGGCCAGGGACACUGCUACAAAGCCCUAUAAUGUAUUAAGUGUACAAAAGGAAACCCUCCCGGCCAGGCAUGGUGGUUCAUACCUGUAAUCUCUGCACUCUGGAGUCUGAGGCAGGCAGAUGGCUUGAGCCCAAGAGGUUGAAGCUGCAGUGAGCCCUGAUCGUUAUGCCACUGCACUCCAGCCUGGGCGAAAGAGCGUCUCAAAAAAAUAAAACCUCUCUGCUGUUGGUUUCUGUGACUGGCAACGUUGGGUUGCUUGGCUCAGUAUUAAUAGUCAAGCAGUUAAGUAAAUAAGCACAACUCCAUUAAUCCAGAAUAAAAAUACUGUUGGCAACCCAUUUAAACAUUGAGUCUAAGCACUUGAACAUGAGUGUUGCUUCAUGUUUCUCCAGUUUGGGAAAUCUGUAUUUGCAGUUGGCAGAGAUUAGGAGUUGCUACACUUAGCAAUAAGGAGAGUAAAGCCUUAACAAAACUGGAUACAGUUUGUUAAGCCCUCCAAACUGACAUGUUAAGAUGGAGAUGUUUACCAGACAUCCAAGUCAAAAUAUCAAAUAAGCAAUUUAAUGACUACAGCUCAAGAGAAAUGGGUUUGAGAUAGAAAUUUGGGUCUUCAGUAUAGGUAAUAAAGCCUGGAAAUGAAUGUGGUCUCACCAAUAGAAUGUUAGAGAAGUCCAAGAACAAAACCUUGGUGAUAUGGUUUGGCUGUGUCCCCACCCAAGCCUCAACUUCAAUUGCAUCUCCCAGAAUUCCCACGUGUUGUGGGAGGGACCAAGGGGGAGGUAAUUGAAUCAUGGGGGUCAGUCUUUCCUGUGCUGUUCUCAUGAUAGUGAAUAAGUCUCACGAGAUCUGAUAGAUUUAUCAGGCUGCUUUUGCUUCUUCCUCAUUUUCUCUUGCCUCCACCAUGUAAGAAGUGCCUUUCACCUCCUGCCAUGAUUCUGAGACCUCCUCAGCCAUGUGGAACUGUUAAGUCCAAUUAAACCUCUUUUUCUUCCCAGUAUCAGGUAUGUCUUUAUCAGCCGCAUGAAAACGGACUGAUACAGUAUAUUGGUACCAGGAGUGGGGUGCUGCUAAAAAGAUAACCAAAAAUGUGGAAGCAACUUUGGAACUGGGUAACAGGUAGAGGUUGGAACAGUUUGGAGGGCUCAGAGGAAGACAGGAAAAUGUGGGGAAGUUUGGAAUUUCCCAGAGACUUGUUGAAUGGCUUUGCCCAAAAUGCUGAUACCAAUAUGAACAAUAAGGUCCAGGCUGAGGUGGUCUCAGAUGGAGAUGAGGAACUUGUUGGGAACUGGAGCAAAGGUGACUCUUGCUAUGUUUUAGCAAAGAGACUGGCAGCAUUUUACCCCUGCCCUAGUGACUUAUGGAACUUUGAACUUGAGAGAAAUGAUUUAGGGUAUCUGGUAGAAAUUUCUAAGCAGCAAAACAUUCAAGAGGUGACUUGGGUGCUGUUAAAGGCAUUCAGUUUUAUAAGGGAAGCAGAGCAUAAAAGUUUGGAAAAUUUGCAGCCUAUGUGAUAGAAAAUUAAAAUGCAUUUUCUGGGGAGAAAUUCAAGCUGGCUGCGGAAAUUUGCGUAAGUAGCAAGGAGGCUAAUGUUAAUCC
rnacentral:lncRNA from 1 species